rnacentral:misc_RNA from 1 species
GAUGAAGAAAGCAGCGAAAUGCGAUAAGUAGUGUGAAUUGCAGAAUUCAGUGAAUCAUCGAAUCUUUGAACGCACAUUGCGCCCCAUGGUAUUCCGUGGGGCAUGCCUGUUCGAGCGUCAUUUACCCCCUCAAGCUCCGCUUGGUGUUGGGCGUCUGUCCCGCUUCGCGCGCGGACUCGCCCCAAAGGUAUUGGCAGCGGUCGUGCCAGCUUCUCGCGCAGCACAUUGCGCUUCUCGAGGCACCGGUGGGCCCGCGUCCAUCAAGCUCACCCCCCCAGUUUGACCUCGGAUCAGGUAGGGAUACCCGCUGAACUUAAGCAUAUCAAUAAGCGGAGGA